rnacentral:lncRNA from 1 species
CUUCACCACACCUGAAAAUCAACAAAAUCCCUUCCUUCAGAUCGCAAAAACUCAACUAAAGAUCAGCAAAAAACCUAACCAUUUUCAGAAAAUACACAAAUCUGUGCAAACUCUUCACAGAAAAAUUGAAUUCAACAAACAUAAAACACAUCAAAAACCAUACACAACAAAGAAAACAAACAAACAUUCCAGCAAAACCUCACCUUUUUUUUCCAAAUCUGUGCAGACCCUUUACAGGAAAAAACACACAAAUCGCAUAUACAUCAAAGAAAACAACCAAAAGUUCAGCAAAACAUUACAUUUUUAUGCAAAUCUCUGAAUUCCCUUUACAGCAAAAACGAUUUCAACCACAAAAAAUCAGCAAAAUCAUACCUUUUUAUACAAAUCUAAUGAAUACCCUUUACAGAAAAAACGAUUUCAAGAACUAUAAAACACUCAAAAAACCAAAAAAAAAAAAAAAAAAAAAACAGCAAAAUCUCACCAUUUUAUACAAAUCUAAUGAAUACCCUUUACAAAAAUCAGCAAAAUCUUACCUUUUGAUACAAAUCUAAUCAAUACCCUUUACAGAAAAAAAAAAAUCAAGAACCAUAAAACACCCCAAAAAAACAAAAAAUAAAUAAAAUAGCAAAAAUCUCACCAUUUUACACAAAUCUAUGGAUACCCUUUAACAAAAAUCAGCAAAAUCAUACCUUUUUAUACAAAUCUAAUAAAUACCCUUCACAUAAAAAAAAUCGAGUUCAAGAACCACAUAACACAAAAAUAUACAUAAAAUAUACACAAAAAAUUUACCUUUUUAAUGAAAAAUCAGAUGCACCGCCAUUGAAAAAGGAUAAAAAUAGGAAAAGGGGAAAAAAAAAAAAAAAAGGGUUAAUAGCCCUAGAAAAAAAUUACAUAUUGGAUUCUUCAAUAGGCAAAGUUUAAUGGUGUGGGCUUUCUGGAUAUUAUUUUUUAUUUUUCUUUGCCAUUCUGUAUCUCUCACUCAGUCCAUUUUUGUAACUCACUGACUU